rnacentral:lncRNA from 1 species
CCUCAUAUGCCCAAAUCUGUCUGGACAGAAAGAAAAAAUUUGUCACAUAAAUAUCCAUCCAAAAAAUGAAGAAAACUGUUCGAAUACUUAAGAACAAAAAAAAUAAACAUAAUGCUGUUCUUACUUACAUGGCGAUCGAAAAUUCGUAAAUUGUGUAAUUGACGUCCUUCUCGUUCUUCAUCUUUGCUUCGCUUAUUUUACGUGCCCAAGUACCCCAGAACCCCUUCAACAAACACCUAUACCCCACUUUGGCCUAGGGGUAGGAAAAAAUCAGCUACAAGUCGUCGACGAGGGAAAGCGUGUCCUCAUCAAUGCCGACAUUAUUAUCCGGAGCAGUGAUAACUCCUUCCACAAUCAGAGCAAGCCUGAGCUUGUAUCUAUUUGCCCAGGGUGUCAACGCGCAGACGAAGGUCUUCUCCAACUGGGCACAUGAAAUCUUCUCCAGCGAUUUGAAAUACUUUUCCUUCAUCCUUCUCUUCUCCAAUGCUUUUGUGUACCGAUCGCCCUCCGGAAACGAGUCAGCAUGCAGUCCAGUGACGAUAGCAUACUCUUGCAGUCUAAAUCGAGUAAGGUGGCCUUGGACGUUGAACCAUAACUCGUGGGACUUAUCGCAACGGAUCACUUGACACACAAGUGCCUGGAUUAGUUGAGAUGAAAACUAGAUUUUCGGAACGUCAACAAGAAACCCAAGGCAGGAGUUGCGAAAGUCAGCUUGCAGUCUGUCGUCCAAGUGAUCGAUCACUGUUUUAAUGUACUUUAGGUUGC